rnacentral:rRNA from 1 species
CCUACGGGGGGCAGCAGUGGGGAAUAUUGGACAAUGGGCGAAAGCCUGAUCCAGCCAUGCCGCGUGUGUGAAGAAGGCCUUCGGGUUGUAAAGCACUUUCAGUGGGGAAGAAAGCCUUGGGGCUAAUACCCUCGAGGAAGGACAUCACCCACAGAAGAAGCACCGGCUAACUCCGUGCCAGCAGCCGCGUAAUACGGAGGGUGCGAGCGUUAAUCGGAAUUACUGGGCGUAAAGCGCGCGUAGGCGGUCUGAUAAGCCGGUUGUGAAAGCCCCGGGCUCAACCUGGGAACGGCAUCCGGAACUGUCAGGCUAGAGUGCAGGAGAGGAAGGUAGAAUUCCCGGUGUAGCGGUGAAAUGCGUAGAGAUCGGGAGGAAUACCAGUGGCGAAGGCGGCCUUCUGGACUGACACUGACGCUGAGGUGCGAAAGCGUGGGUAGCAAACAGGAUUAGAUACCCUAGUCGUC